UGGAACACUCAGACAGCUAAUAUACUUUCCA
rnacentral:piRNA from 1 species